AACUAAGCUGAACAUGCACACAACCAGGGCAGGUAGCUCAGUGGUAGAGCACCUGGCACCGGUGUAGGAGGUCCUGGGCUCAAUCCCCGGCCUGUCCAGAUCCAUUUUCCAACAUGGUAUCGGAGCUAUGGUUGGAUGGCCUGUGGUAGGCAUGGACUGGGCAGGUAGGGAUGUGUGGUGUGUUCAGCUUAGGGGGGAGUGUUAGAACUAAGCUGAACAUGCACACAACCAGGGCAGGUAGCUCAGUGGUAGAGCACCUGGCACCGGUGUAGGAGGUCCUGGGUUCAAUCCCCGGCCUGUCCAGAUCCAUUUUCCAACAUGGUAUCGGAGCUAUGGUUGGAUGGCCACCUGGCACUGGUGUAGGAGGUCCUGGGUUCAAUCCCCGGCCUGUCCAGAUCCAUUUUCCAACAUGGUAUCGGAGCUAUGGUUGGAUGGCCUGUGGUAGGCAUGGACUGGCAGGUAGGGAUGUGUGGCGUGUUCAGCUUAGGGGGGAGUGUUGGAACUAAGUUGAACAUGCAGGUAGGGAUGUGGUAGGCAUGGACUGGCAGGUAGGGAUGUGUGGCGUGUUCAGCUUAGGGGGGAGUGUUGGAACUGUGGUAGGCAUGGACUGGCAGGUAGGGAUGUGUGGCGUGUUCAGCUUAGGGGGGAGUGUUGGAACUAAGUUGAACAUGCAGGUAGGGAUGUGUGGCGUGUUCAGCUUAGGGGGGAGUGUUGGAACUAAGUUGAACAUGGUAUCGGAGCUAUGGUUGGAUGGCCUGUGGUAGGCAUGGACUGGCAGGUAGGGAUGUGUGGCGUGUUCAGCUUAGGGGGGAGUGUUGGAACUAAGUUGAACAUGCACACAACCAGGGCAGGUAGCUCAGUGGUAGAACACCUGGCACCGGUGUAGGAGGUCCUGGGUUCAAUCCCCAGC
rnacentral:lncRNA from 1 species